CCAAGACCUGUUUGGAGAAUUAAACCAGCUAAUGUAGGAGCCACGGCUGCCGCUGGGGAGGGCCCAGUAAUUAUUAGUUCCCUCCCCGUCCUAGGGGACCCCCCAGGAGAGCGUAGUGUGGGCUCCUAGUGGGGCCUCUCGAGGCAAAUACCUCCCGAGAGGGGGCGCGCGCCCUCCCCUCUUCCCAUGGGGCGCCCCCAGUUCCAGCCUGACCUGGAACUCAGGGUUGCCAGAGCUGCUGAAUUUUCAAGAGAAAGCGGAAAUCUGAGUUUUAAUGAGACCGCUCCUGAUUUUUUAAAACGUUGAUCAUGAAGUUAAAACAAUAAUAAUGCUUCUCCAGCCACCUUGGGUGAAGAUGACACUGUGGAUGGCAGAGGAGGAAGAUACAAACAGCCAGGUCUCUGAUGGCCUCUUCAAGAGACUACUUUUUGGUACCUGCAUUCUUGGAACCAUUUGGACCAACCUUCAGACUUAGAAUUAUGUGAGCUAUAUUGUAUGACCCAGGAGACAGAAUGAGGUGAUCUGUACAGCCAAUAGGAAAAGAUCUACAAAAUAUCAAAUGAGGAUGGGAAGAUAGUACCCUGCAGAGUUUGAUUUAUGCAGAAUUUUAAAGGAUGCAUAUACUUACAUUUUCUGAUAAAUGCAUAAAAUAUUUUCCUGGAAAGAUCCAUAAGUAAACUGUAAUCAGUGCUUACCUUUGAGAAUACAGCAGGAAGUAGAGGCAUGAAGGGAAAGGGACUUUUUCUUCUCAUUUUGUACUUGUCUAUAAGUUUUUUUUGUUUUGUUUUGUUUGUUUGUUUUGAGACGGAGUUGCGCUCUGUUGCCCCGGCUGGAGUGUAGUGGCCUGAUCUGGGCUCACGACAAGCUCCGCCUCCCAGGUUCAUGCCAUUCUCUUGCUUCAGCCUCCCUAGUAGCUGGAACUACAGGAUAAGGUUUCAUUUUUAACUGUAUGCCUACAUUACUUGUAUGUGUUUGCAGAAAGUAAAAUCAACAGAGAUGUGGUGAUAGAAUCUAAUAGCAAUUUUGUCAUUUUCAUGAACAAAUAUUUUAUGCAAUGGAAAAUAUUAAAACUCUGGGAAUAAAGCGUGUUAAUGCCUG